AUGGAGAAAACUAGCGCCACCUUGCCCUCGCGAGUGGCAUGCAUGACAAAUCUUCAUAGUGUACCAGCCCUCUCAGAAUCGGUCCAUGGCCUUGAAUUAAGUGAUGCCAACUCUUUUUCAGAGAUUAAUUCUGCUAUGCUUAAUUUUGCUGAGUUCUCUACGCCUAAGAAGAGACAAUGCUUUUCUCUAGAUGGUUCGUUGUAUAAACCUCUGUGUGAUGAUGCACUCAAACCAAUAGUAGUCAUGACAUUUGAUGAUAUUGCUGCCGUGGAGACAUUUUAUAAGAAGUAUGCACAUCAUGUGGGAUUUGGUGUCCACCUUGGAGCACAAAGGCUUGUGAACAAUGUAAUUCAGUGGAAGCGUUUCUUAUGCUCAAGGGAGGAAUACCGGUCCACGGAAGAUGAGUGUGGUAGCAUGAGGAACGCUAUCAAGGCACUUCUACCCCAUACCACGCAUCGGUUGUGCAGGUUGCACAUUAUGAAGAAGGUUCCUCAGAAGAAUUCGAAGAAAGUUGGAAGUCUAAUAUCAGAUUUUGGCUUGCAAGAAAAUGAGUGGUUUGCAAAAUGUUACCUGAUUCGUGGGUCAUGGGUGCCAGCAUUUUUCAUGGACAUUGCCCUAGCUGGUAUUCUCAGAACCACCUCUAGGUCAGAGAGUGAAAACUCAUUUUUGAAGAAUUUCAUCCGUCGGAAGCUCGCAUUUGUUGAGUUUAGGCUUAGGUUUAACACAACCUUGAAAUGUCAGAGGCAAGAGGAGUUGAUUGCUGACCACACAAGCCUACAUACAACACCUAGAUUGCAGACAUGUUGGGAAGUGGAAAGACAGGGCAGCGUACUUUUCACUCAUAAGGUCUUUGCCUUGUUUCAAUCAGAGGUACUUACUGGUAGAGAGCAUUGUGAUGUCCAGGAUACUAUGACUAUGGGGGAGCUGAAGAUUGUUUCCAUUAGUGAUCAAAGUCAUCGGAAAAAUAAGGUAAGAGACAUGCAUUUAGAGACAACAACCAUGAUUGCUAAAUGUUCUUGCAAGCUCUUUGAGUCCAAGGGCAUUGUGUGCCACCAUGUCACACGCGUCUUGAGGGGUGCAAAGAUAAAUGAGCUUCCAACCUUUUAUGUUCUCAAAAGAUGGGAGAAAAUGUGCAAAAGGGAUAUUGUAUUUGACAACGAAGUGAAUGCCCUUGAAGAUAAUCCGAUUGACUGCAUUGACAUGGAUUCUAGAAGAAAGAUCUCGAUGGCACGAAACAAAUCUCCCUCCAUUCUCGCGUUCUAUGGGAUGACAGAAAGGUGGGGUACAAGGGUUGUUAUGAGCCACGAUUUGACCACGUUUGGUCCAAUCGGAUGGAUAUUGCGGUAUUCAUUAGCCGAAUGGGCUUUGAGGUGCCGGGACAGCCGAGUUAUUCUUAUGAUGUGGACGUUCAUGCCUUCUAGGUCGUAUCCUUGCAAUGGGCCUACCCCGAGGGAUCCUGCUGUCAACAUGCAAUGUAUGCUUGAAGGGAGAACAUUGGGAAGUGGCUUCAGCCUCGAUCUGCACCCCAAGUGCACCGAUGGCAUGGGGAUCCUCGAUCUCAGCUAG
rnacentral:rRNA from 1 species